GCGCUCUUGGCCAAGUGGUACGGCGACAGACUUCGACGUUUGUUGGACAUUCUUCUUUCGAAGAAGGCAUCUGUAGAUCGGGGGUUCGAUCCCCUCAGAGCGUU